UGGGGAAUAUUGGACAAUGGGCGCAAGCCUGAUCCAGCCAUGCCGCGUGUGUGAAGAAGGCCUUCGGGUUGUAAAGCACUUUUGUCCGGAAAGAAAAGCUUCGGGUUAAUACCCCGGGGUUCUGACGGUACCGGAAGAAUAAGCACCGGCUAACUUCGUGCCAGCAGCCGCGGUAAUACGAAGGGUGCAAGCGUUACUCGGAAUUACUGGGCGUAAAGCGUGCGUAGGUGGUUUGUUAAGUCUGAUGUGAAAGCCCUGGGCUCAACCUGGGAAUUGCAUUGGAUACUGGCAGGCUAGAGUGCGGUAGAGGAUGGCGGAAUUCCCGGUGUAGCAGUGAAAUGCGUAGAGAUCGGGAGGAACAUCUGUGGCGAAGGCGGCCAUCUGGACCAGCACUGACACUGAGGCACGAAAGCGUGGGGAGCAAACAGGAUUAGAUACCCUUGUAGUCCCUGAGCGGGCUGGCAAGGCGCAU
rnacentral:rRNA from 1 species